UGCACGAUAGCCCAGUGGUCAAGGUCGAGUCCUUGUGGUGGUCGUGUCAUGAGUUCGAGUCUCAUACUGCUUAA